rnacentral:rRNA from 1 species
AUGGCGCUAACCUUAUGGGCGUUGUGGUAUGCGAGGCGGAAAGCAAUAUACGAAUCAAUCUUCCAGAGCCCUCAAUACACUAUAUCUUUUGUGAACGAUUUCAUUGCAGAACUGGAGCAUCUCCCAACAAGGGCGGUGUCCCCGGCUGGAGCGGGUGCCCUCAACGAUCAAACUCAACGAUGGCUCGCUCCGGCUGCGGGUGCAGUCAAGGUGAAUGCAGAUGGAGCGUUGGCAAGAAACGGGAGAGGCGGGGCUGUUGCAGCUCUGUGCCGCGACCACAAUGGCGUAUAUCUUGGCUCCUCGGCGGUGGUCUACCAGGGGAUAUCUGACCCGACGAUUUUGGAAACUUACGCGUGCAGAGAAGCUCUAGCAUUGGCGGAAGAUCUCGCAGUUUAGGACGUCGUGGUGGCCUCUGAUUGUCAAGGAGUAGUUAAUGACAUCAAUCACGGGACAGGCGGUCCGAAUGCAGCAAUUACACAUGAAAUCAUAGCUCGUAGCUCUAUAUUUUCCUCUUGUAGGUUCCUGCAUGAGCGCAGGAACUUUAAUUUUGAGUCUCACAACCUCGUCAAAUUUGCUUGUAAAUUAGGUACCGGUAGACAUGUUUGGUUGGGCAAUCCUCAUGGCCCAAACUUUGUACCUAUGAACAUUACUUUGAAUCAAUAA